CGGACGGGUGAGUAACGCGUGAGGAACCUACCUUGGAGAGGGGAAUAACACUCCGAAAGGAGUGCUAAUACCGCAUGAUGCAGUUGGGUCGCAUGGCUCUGACUGCCAAAGAUUUAUCGCUCUGAGAUGGCCUCGCGUCUGAUUAGCUAGUAGGCGGGGUAACGGCCCACCUAGGCGACGAUCAGUAGCCGGACUGAGAGGUUGACCGGCCACAUUGGGACUGAGACACGGCCCAGACUCCUACGGGAGGCAGCAGUGGGGAAUAUUGGGCAAUGGGCGCAAGCCUGACCCAGCAACGCCGCGUGAAGGAAGAAGGCUUUCGGGUUGUAAACUUCUUUUGUCGGGGACGAAACAAAUGACGGUACCCGACGAAUAAGCCACGGCUAACUACGUGCCAGCAGCCGCGGUAAUACGUAGGUGGCAAGCGUUAUCCGG
rnacentral:rRNA from 1 species